CAACCAAUUUUACUAAUAGAAAGUGUUACAGAACAAAAUAUUUUCGAAGGACCAUGAUAAUACAUUUAUGCCAAGAACAAUUUGUAUGGAAACCGUCCAAACACAAAUAUGGCGGAUCGUGGAGUUGUCACAUAGUCAUGAUUGUGCUGUAAACAACGACUUUUCUUCGCAUCUACAAGCCUGUCACGAUAUUUUAGCUCUGGCAGUUAUGGGUGAAUAUACAGCGAAAUCAUACAGAUUCGGAUGAAAAUGAUAAAGAUAGUAAAGUCAAAGACAGUUUGAUGAACCAAAUGACACUGAUAAAGAAGAAGAUACAAAAAAUUAUACUUCUAGCCAGCAUGUGACUUUGAAGCCGAUAGUUUGGUAACCACCUCAAAUCAGUGAUAUGUUUUUCUGACAUCCAUUCAACAUUUGAAACUAGCUAUUCCUCGCUUUAGAAAUUGUUCAUACGUAGAGCAUGUUUUUGCAUAUUGAAUCAACUGAGAGAUAUAAACCCUGUAUGCAGGUGAUGACAGUAUAGGAGAGCCAUUUCUUAUGCCGUGCUUUGAGCAAAAUAUGUUUAGUUGAAAUGAAAUGCGAAGUGAAAACUUAAAUUGACAGAUGAAGAAAAUUUACCACUCCAUCCUUCUGUAUGGUCUUCUGAAUUUAAAGCCACUUGAAAACCAACUUAAAGUUAAGAGGAACACUUUAUCUUCGGUGAAACAUUCUGGAAAAUAUUACUUCUACAUGGAAAGAAAAGUUGUAUUAAUACUUGAUGUUGUAUUGCAAGAUGGCCAAGUUUGUAUGACCAGUGCUUUUGAAAAAAAAACUAUGCUUGCACUCAGUUUCCCAUGAACAAAGCAUUCUAAAGAUAAAGUGUAGAAUUUAAUUCUAAUGGAUAAA